UAUAUAUUUUCUCGCUUUUUCAAAAGAUGUGGUCAAAGAAAGAACAAUCACUGUCCCAAAAGAAAAAAAUGAUAAAGAAAUAAAAAUGAGAAAGGAAAGCUUCUUGCUCCUUACAAUUGGUUUAGGGAAGAACAGAACCCAACUUAUAAUUUUAUAGAGCACCUUAUGAUGCACCUUUUCCUAAAAAGUAAAAAUUUUAAUUUUGAUAUGCUUUGGAAUAUAUUUUUUAAGCUUGGAAAACCCAUUAUAAAUACAAAUGAAUUUACCAUAUGAAGUUCAGCCCUUUCUAAAACCAAACCUUCUUCUUCAGUCAAAACUCUCUACUCUUUACUUCUCUUCUCUGCCAUUUCUUUUCUCCUAAGAAUAAUUUUCUGCUGUGUGAUCUUAGAUUUUAGUAAUUUCUAUUGGGUAAGGAUAAGGUAAUCUGCAUCCUGAGGUUUAGAUCAGAAUUAUGAAUUCGAAAAAAUGGGUUUUCUUUUCUAGCCCUCGGGUCGCAGAUUACCUCUUCCUUGCUGACAAUGUUGGAUUUGUCUAUCAGAUUAUCACAACUCUUCUUCAAGUCUCUUCGACACUUUUGAAGCAGUCUCUUCCGUCCUUAAAGACGAGAAACUCCAUCGUGUCCACAUGGAAGAAGAUGUAACUCCCACAUAGAUGUGUAAUGCAACCUCCAAACGCUUUGCCCGCCACACAAUGCCAUGCUGGGCCAUAAGCUUCAUCAAACCUCUAUUGAUCAAAGCACAAAGUCGUAUAACUAUGCAAUUUAAUAUAAGACAGUAUAUUGUAAUCUUUCAUUAACGUGUCACGGGUCGGUCCACUUUUUAGUAUGUAAUUGAUAUCUAGCACCUUUUUCUCAUUAUCAUACUGAGAUUGUUAAUAGACCAGCAAAAAGGAAGAAAUGAUGAACAUGGGAACUUCCUGAGUUAUUUCAUUCAAAACGAUGUCCCUUUACUCUUCAGACAAAUCGAUUCAAACAUGAUCCACA